GACGAACGCUGGCGGCGUGCUUAACACAUGCAAGUCGAACGAUGAAAGCGGGAGCUUGCUCCUGCUGGAUUAGUGGCGAACGGGUGAGUAACACGUGAGCAAUCUGCCCCGAACUCUGGGAUAAGCGUUGGAAACGACGUCUAAUACCGGAUACGACGCGCGAAGGCAUCUUCUGCGCGUGGAAAGAAUUUCGGUUCGGGAUGAGCUCGCGGCCUAUCAGCUAGUUGGUGAGGUAAUGGCUCACCAAGGCGACGACGGGUAGCCGGCCUGAGAGGGUGACCGGCCACACUGGGACUGAGACACGGCCCAGACUCCUACGGGAGGCAGCAGUGGGGAAUAUUGCACAAUGGGCGCAAGCCUGAUGCUUAGCAACGCCGCGUGAGGGACGACGGCCUCGG
rnacentral:rRNA from 1 species